UACGGAGGAUGCAAGCGUUAUCCGGAAUGAUUGGGCGUAAAGGGUCCGCAGGUGGAACUGAAAGUCUGCUGUUAAAGAAUCUGGCUCAACCAGAUAAAAGCAGUGGAAACUACAGAACUAGAGUAUGGUAGGGGUAGAAGGAAUUCCUAGUGUAGCGGUGAAAUGCGUAGAUAUUAGGAAGAACACCGGUGGCGAAAGCGUUCUACUAGACCAAGACUGACACUGAGGGACGAAAGCUAGGGGAGCGAAUGGGAUUAGAUACCCCAGUAGUCCUAGCCGUAAACGAUGGAUACUAGGCGUGGCUUGGAUCGACCCGAGCCGUGCCGGAGCCAACGCGUUAAGUAUCCCGCCUGGGGAGUACGCACGCAAGUGUGAA
rnacentral:rRNA from 1 species